GACGAACGCUGGCGGCGUGCUUAACACAUGCAAGUCGAACGGAAAGGCCCUGCUUUUGUGGUGUGCUCGAGUGUCGAACGGGUGAGUAACACGUGAGUAACCUGCCCUUGACUGUGGGAUAACUUCUGGAAACUGGGGCGAAUACCGGAUAUGAGCUCCUGCGGCACGUGGGUGGUUGGAAAGUUUGGGCGGUUGGGGAUGGACUCGCGGCUUAUCAGCUUGUUUGUGGGGUAUGGGCUUACCAAGGCUUUGACGGGUAGCCGGCCUGAGCGGGUGACCGGGCACAUUGGGCCUGAGAUACGGCGCAGACUGGUACGGGACGCAACAGAGGGGAAUCUUGCACAGUGGGCGGAAGUGAGAGGAAGAAACGCCGCGUGCGGGAUACCGGGUUGUGGGUUAAAAACCGGUGUCGGCGGAAACGAUGCGUGAGUGACGGUAAUGAGUAAAGAAGCACCGGCUAACUACGUG
rnacentral:rRNA from 1 species